rnacentral:rRNA from 1 species
CCUACGGGUUGCAGCAGUGAGGAAUAUUGGUCAAUGGGCGCGAGCCUGAACCAGCCACGUAGCGUGAAGGAUGACUGCCCUACGGGUUGUAAACUUCUUUUAUAAAGGAAUAAAGUGAGGCACGUGUGCCUUUUUGUAUGUAAUUUAUGAAUAAGGAUCGGCUAACUACGCGCCAGCAGCCGCGGUAAUACGGAGGAUCUGAGCGUUAUCCGGAUUUAGUGGGUUUAAAGGGAGCGUAGAUGGGGUGUUAAGGCAGUAGUGAAAGUUUGCGGCUCAACCGUAAAAUUGCAAUGGAUACUGGCAGUCGUGAGUACAGUUGAGGUAAGCGGAAUUCGUAGUGUAGCGGUGAAAUGCUUAGAUAUCACGAAGAACUCCGAUUGCGAAGGCAGCUUACUAAACUGCCACUGACAUUGAUGCUCGAAAGUGUGGGUAUCAAACAGGAUUAGAUACCCCUGUAGUC